UCCGAUAUGGUGUAGUGGCUAACAUUAUCGCCUCUCAUAUGUCUACAAAGUGUUGCUGAAAGCGCGAUAGCCCGGGGUUCGAUUCCCCGUGUCGGAA
rnacentral:tRNA from 1 species